AAAAUCCAUUAACAAUAAUUGUUGUAAGGGUUCGAGUCCCUUUAUCUCUA
rnacentral:tRNA from 1 species